rnacentral:rRNA from 1 species
ACCUGCGAUGCAUUUAGCUAGUUGGUAAGGUAACAGCUUACCAAGGCGAUGAUGCAUAGCCGAGUUGAGAGACUGAUCGGCCACAUUGGGACUGAGACACGGCCCAAACUCCUACGGGAGGCAGCAGUAGGGAAUCUUCCACAAUGGACGAAAGUCUGAUGGAGCAACGCCGCGUGAGUGAAGAAGGUUUUCGGAUCGUAAAGCUCUGUUGUUGGUGAAGAAGGAUAGAGGUAGUAACUGGCCUUUAUUUGACGGUAAUCAACCAGAAAGUCACGGCUAACUAUGUGCCAGCAGCCGCGGUAAU